AGCCCCGUGGUGUAGCGGUCCAUCAUGAGGGGUUCUGGUCCCCUUGACCCAGGUUCGAGUCCUGGCGGGGCUACCA
rnacentral:tRNA from 1 species